rnacentral:rRNA from 1 species
GGAACGUCUAUUAUCUAGUAUGAGAAAUUAACGAUUUAAGUCCUUCUUAAAUGAGGCCAUUUACCCAUAGAGGGUGCCAGGCCCGUAUAACGUUAAUGAUUAUUAGAAGGCGUUUCCAAAGAGUCGUGUUGCUUGAUAGUGCAGCACUAAGAGGGUGGUAAACUCCAUCUAAAACUAAAUAUAACCAUGAGACCGAUAGUAAACAAGUACCGUGAGGGAAAGUUGAAAAGAACUCUGAAUAGAGAGUUAAAUAGUACGUGAAACUGCUUAGAGGUUAAGCCCGAUGAACCUGAAUAUCCAUUAUGGAAAACUCAUCAUAAUUGCCGUUAUAUUAAUAAUAUAAUGGAAAUAUUGUGCAUUUUUUCUAUAUAAGGACAUUGUAAUCUAUUAACAUAUUAAAUAUUUAUCAUAAGAUCAUUGAGCACAAGUUUAUUCAAAUUAAUUUGCUUGCAUUUUAACAUAGAAUAAAUGCUUAUGAUUUGAUAAAGUGUUGAUAGAUUUAUAAAUAUAUAGUGCUUAAAUUCUUAUGAAUUUUAUAAUGGCAUAAUUUAAUUGUGUAAUAUUAUAUGCGCUUAUAUGAUUAACAAUGCGAUAGAUUCAGGAUACCUUCGGGACCCGUCUUGAAACACGGACCAAGGAGUCUAACAUAUGUGCAAGUCAUUGGGAUUUUAUAAUUAAACCCAAAGGCGUAAUUAACUUAACUGCAUAUAAUGGGAUUAGUUUUUAGUCUAUUUAUAGUCUAUUAAUUCAAUCCCGGGGCGUUCUAAUGGUUAUGUAUAAUAAUAUUUA